AGAGGGUACCGAAUGGAUCUUGGAGGAGGGAGGCACUCGCUGCUGGGCCUCCAAGAGACCCCCACGUAGACGUCUCCAGCCUUCGGUCUCCUGACUU
ensembl:misc_RNA